UGCUCAAAUUCCCAUACGAACAAAAGCUUCCCCACUCUAGACUAGAGGCCUCAACUGCUUCCUCUCUAUCGUUCCCGUCGCUCAAUCUCGCCGCCGAUGAGCCUCCAUUGCCAGUCUUUCCGAGUCCCAUAUGAACAAGGAACAAAAAGAAGUCCUAAAUUCCCACUUCUCCUAUUCUGACAAAGAAGCAUUUACCCGGCCAAGGAAAAAAGAAAACUCACUCGAUUCCACCUCACUCAUUCCUCUCUUUCCCCCAAAUUCCAAAAUUUCCCCGUUAUGCUCUGAUGUCCAAAUUGAUUUGCUUUGCUUGACCGGAAGGUUAUGCUCUGAUUCCGGCCUCGACGUGAUUUUGAAAUAGACUGGGUCGUGGAAGGCAGAUCGAAGGCACGUGAAGCUGUCCUCCUACGCGAAGCUCGGUUACCCAAGGAGGUUCACAUUUCUCUAUCUUUGUCGUGGAAGGAAGAUGCUCUGAGCCAGCCUCGACAUGAUUUUGUGAAGAUUAGGUCGUGGAAGGAAGAUCAAAGGCCCGUGAAGCUCUCUUCCUACGCCAAGCUCCGUUACCCAAAGAGAGGCCGUACAGGUUCUGGUUUCUUCUCUUGCCGAUGAAUCUCCCGUGGUCAGAGUGGCCUCGAUGGCUUCUCUCGAGGAAAUCACCGCUCUGUACUCUCUCUAUAUAUUUUUUCAUAUACAUUAUAA